UCCAGACUCCUACGGGAGGCAGCAGUGAGGAAUAUUGGUCAAUGGCCGAGAGGCUGAACCAGCCAAGUCGCGUGAGGGAUGACGGCCCUACGGGUUGUAAACCUCUUUUGUCGGGGAGCAAAGAGAGUCACGUGUGACUCAUUGAGAGUACCCGAAGAAAAAGCAUCGGCUAACUCCGUGCCAGCAGCCGCGGUAAUACGGAGGAUGCGAGCGUUAUCCGGAUUUAUUGGGUUUAAAGGGUGCGCAGGCGGAAGAUCAGGUCAGCGGUAAAAUUGAGAGGCUCAACCUCUUCGAGCCGUUGAAACUGGCUUUCUUGAGUGAGUGAGAAGUAUGCGGAAUGCGUGGUGUAGCGGUGAAAUGCAUAGAUAUCACGCAGAACUCCGAUUGCGAAGGCAGCAUACCGGCGCUCAACUGACGCUCAUGCACGAAAGUGUGGGUAUCGAACAGGAUUAGAUACCCGAGUA
rnacentral:rRNA from 1 species